rnacentral:lncRNA from 1 species
UUUUUUGCCCCAUUAGGGACGAGGCGGUACCGGGACGGGGUAAAUUGCCAAUUCCAUCCAAUAUUUCGUUAUUCAAUCAAGAAAUUAGAUAUUCGAUUCAAAUUAUCAAAUUAAAAUUGAGGAGUAAAAUAAUAAAUUUAGAUUUUUAUAGAAACAUAAUUAAAAAAAAUUAAAAUAGAAAACAAAAAAUUAAAUAAAUAAAUAAACUAUUCAUCUUCUUCAAAUCCCCCCUCCUCCCAACCUCACCUAUUCCCAAUGCAACCACCAAAAACCAGAAAAUCAGUCACUAUCAGCCACUGUCACCGACCAGCAACCGCAGCAUCGUAAACUCUCUGAUCCUUAUCACAAAGUUAUAUGUUAAACUUCUUCAUAACUUAUUUCAUUUGUACCCUCAAGUUCUUUUAAAUUGGGUGAAAUCUACCAAGCCCCAUGUCUAUUUUCUCCACCCACAUUAACUAGUAAUCUCCAAGUCCGAUCUGUUGACACCCCCAAAUCACACUUCAAAGAUUCUCUACACCUACAAUCGCGCCAUGAAGGGAUUCUUGGAUCGGCUCACCGUUGACCAAGCCGCCAAGAUCAGCCAUGGAACUCACCGCUGACUAAGCCACCACGACCAUGUCGUGCUCUGCAGGUAACCAGGUAAUUUCGGCCCUGAUCCAUAUAUUGGUGGUGGUAGUACCGUAUCUGGGCUUGGAUAAUUGUUGCUUGAAAAGCUUUCGGUUGAUUGUGGUAAAAAAUCGAAGUCGGGUUUUAGUAUUUACCCUUCUCCUCGGCUUUCAACUACCGUUGUUGAGCCUUAUAAUCAUGUGCUUUCGACUCAUUCUCCUUUGGAGCACACUGAUGUUAAUGUGAAUGAAGUUUAUUUCAAUGAUGUUUGGCUAUGAAGUAUGCGUUGGAAAAUGGUUAGUUGCAUUAAAUUGAAAAACUGUAAAAUUCAAAAAGUAGAACUUAUCAAUCAAAUUUCGUGAUAUCACGAUAUUCUAAAAUGAAAUUGCGUAUCGUUAAUUACUGUGACCUUUGUAGACAAUUAUUUUGAGGAUACAACGAUCAAAAAAUCACUUGUGUAGCGAUUUUAGAAAUCACCAGUGUGCUCCAGAAAAAAAGUAUAUAAGUAUAAAACUUGAGUAUGAAAGAUUAUAGAAUAUAAAAAUGAUAAAUUAGUUUUUGAUGUAAUUUUUUCAAAAUUAGACAUGAGUUUAUAUGCCUUGGGGCAUAGUUUAAUAGUGUAAAGGAUAGGAGUGAGGUUAUAUCAUGUCUUAUUGGCAGCUGUAGUGUGGGGGUUCAAUUCCUGAAACAUGGAAUUGGACUCCUUGUAGGCGCAAUGUACAGGCAGCUCUUGUUCUCUGACCCGAUGGGGCACAUCCCGCGAUUUACCUCCCUCACAAAGCUCUAGGGACAGGACGGUAAAACCCUCAAGGUUGAGGUCUAACCUUUUUUUUUUUUUUUUUUAAAUAUGAGUUUAUAACCUUUUUUUUUUUUUUUUUUAGAUAUGAGUUUAUAUAGUCAGAAUAGAUAUAUUUGCCUCCAUCACGGUUCAGAAGUAUUUGCAAUUUUAAUAAGUUGUUGAAAAUGGGUUGUUUAAAUAUGAUCAUAUUAUUGACAGUUUAACUCAUUAGAUAAAUUCGAAAAUGAUUAAAAUAAAUAAAAUAAUAUUAUUUUAAUUAUCAUGUGGGAUGUGAUCAAAUCUCCCGCAAAUUUCACAUUUUUCGCCAAUUGGGUACUUUAUCCAACUUAGUUAUUUCUUUCAAAUAAUAUAUUUAUUAUAUAAAAUCUAACACUGCCAAAUCUGUGUAUGUGAAUGAAGUUUGGCUACGGUGGUAUAGCAGUUUGUUGUGGCGAUGAUAGGCGAUGGAAUCGUGUGGAUGUAGUGACGGCAAUGGCUGGUGAUUGGUUUUCUGGUUUUGGAUUUCCGGGGUGACUGUGGGAAGAGAAGAUGAACAUAGUUCAUUUUUAUUUUUAUUCUUUUGUUAUAUAUUUUAAUUAUUUUAUUAUAAAAAAAUCUAAAUUUACUAUUUUACCCCAUUUAACUUGUUAAU